AGCGGCGGACGGGUGAGUAACACGUGGGUAACCUGCCCAAGAGAUCGGGAUAACACCUGGAAACAGAUGCUAAUACCGGAUAACAACAGAUGAUGCCUAUCAACUGUUUAAAAGAUGGUUCUGCUAUCACUCUUGGAUGGACCUGCGGUGCAUUAGCUAGUUGGUAGGGUAACGGCCUACCAAGGCGAUGAUGCAUAGCCGAGUUGAGAGACUGAUCGGCCACAUUGGGACUGAGACACGGCCCAAACUCC
rnacentral:rRNA from 1 species